GCUACACAUGCAGUCGACGAUGAUGCCCAGCUUGCUGGGUGGAUUAGUGGCGAACGGGUGAGUAAUACGUGAGUAACCUGCCCUUGACUCUGGGAUAAGCCUGGGAAACUGGGUCUAAUACUGGAUACUACCNNCCAUCGCAUGGUGGGUGGUGGAAAGGGUUUUACUGGUUUUGGAUGGGCUCACGGCCUAUCAGCUUGUUGGUGGGGUAAUGGCUCACCAAGGCGACGACGGGUAGCCGGCCUGAGAGGGUGACCGGCCACACUGGGACUGAGACACGGCCCAGACUCCUACGGGAGGCAGCAGUGGGGAAUAUUGCACAAUGGGCGGAAGCCUGAUGCAGCGACGCCGCGUGAGGGAUGACGGCCUUCGGGUUGUAAACCUCUUUCAGUAGGGAAGAAGCGAGAGUGACGGUACCUGCAGAAGAAGCGCCGGCUAACUACGUGCCAGCAGCCGCGGUAAUACGUAGGGCGCAAGCGUUGUCCGGAAUUAUUGGGCGUAAAGAGCUCGUAGGCGGGUUGUCGCGUCUGCUGUGAAG
rnacentral:rRNA from 1 species